GACGAACGCUGACGGCGUGCUUAACACAUGCAAGUCGAAGGGAGUGGCGAACGGGUGAGUAACACGUGAGUAACCUGCCCUGUUCUUUGGGAUAAGCCUGGGAAACUGGGUCUAAUACUGGAUGGAUUGGGAUGGGCUCGCGGCUGAUCAGCUUGUUGGUGGGGUGAUGGCUUACCAAGGCUUUGACGGGUAGCCGGCCUGAGAGGGUGAUCGGGCACACUGGGACGGAAAUACGGCCCAGGCUCGUACGGGAGGGGGCAGUGGGGGAUAUUGCGCAAUGGACGAAAGUCUGAUGCAGCGACGUCGUGUGGGGGAUGAAGGCCGUAGGGUUGUAAACUCCUUUCGCCCGCGGAAUGGUAGUGGGUGAAGAAGCGCCGGCUAACUACGUGCCAGCAGCCGCGGUAAUUC
rnacentral:rRNA from 1 species